GUGCUCGCUUCAGCAGCACAUAUACUAAAAUUGGAACGAUACAGAGAAGAUUAGCAUGGCCCCUGCACAAGGAUGACAUGCAAAUUUGUCAAGCGUUCCAUAUUUAA